AUUUAAAUAGCUUAGUAUAAAGUUUAAUAUUGAAGAUAUUAAGAAAAUUAAAUUUAAUUUUUAAAUA
rnacentral:tRNA from 1 species